rnacentral:rRNA from 1 species
AGGGAAUCUUCCGCAAUGGACGCAAGUCUGAUGGAGCAACGCCGCGUGAGUGAAGAAGGUUUUCGGACCGUAAAGCUCUGUUGUUGGUGAAGAAGGAUAGAGGUAGUAACUGGCCUUUAUUUGACGGUAAUCAACCAGAAAGUCACGGCUAACUACGUGCCAGCAGCCGCGGUAAUACGUAGGUGGCAAGCGUUGUCCGGAUUUAUUGGGCGUAAAAGCGAGCGCAGGCGGAAGAAUAAGUCUGAUGUGAAAGCCCUCGGCUUAACCGAGGAAUUGCAUCGGAAACUGUUUUUCUUGAGUGCAGAAGAGGAGAGUAGAAACUCCAUGUGUAGCGGUGGAAUGCGUAGAUAAUAUGGAAGAAUACCAGUGGCGAAGGCGGCUCUCUGGUCUGCAAACUGACGCUGAGGCUCGAAAAGCAUGGGUAGCGAACAGGAUUAGAUACCCUGGUAGUCCAUGCCGUAAAACGAUGAGUGCUAAGUGUUGGGAGGCUUCCGCCUCUCAGUGCUGCAGCUAACGCAUUAAGCACUCCGCCUGGGGGAGUACGACCG